AAAAAAACAAGCUUAUUGUGUGGCUGUGAACUUACUGGGAUCUGCAGAACUUUGUGUCUUCUUUAGAAAAUGCAUUUUCUAUUUCUUGCAGUUGAUGAUGUCACAGUUUGCAUGAUGACUUGCAUGAAGGCCGUAUUUGUAUACAUAUAUAUAUACAUGCUGUAUGGAAACUGUUGAAUCAUGUCCUGAACCUCUGAUUGACCACCUGAGGCGACCGCUGAGUCAGCUGCAGGGGCACAGGUGAAUGCAAUUUCACCUGAGUGACUCCUAGACCCCAUUUAAGGGCUGACUCCCAAGGAGGAAGGAUCUCUAUCUAGAGAUCCCUCCUCUUGGAGCUCUUCUGUGAGCCCAGGAUACGGGGUAAAUUGCUCUGUGAUCCGGGUGGAGUACAAUGGAAGAGCCUUCCCAGCCUUUGUGUGUGAGUUUCCCUGCAAGGAGAUAAGAGCCCAUGGUGAGCUGAGAUAUACCCACAUCCCUUCCUGGCAGACAGGUAGGCUAUGGCUGCACUGUACACUAGGGACUGGAAGGGCCAUGCUGUAGAAGGCAUCACAGGGGAGGCAAAACCUCCAUAAACUAUCAGAGGUUGUAGUACGUCGUAGCUACAGCUCCUGUGAUCCUCUGUGCAGUUCUUACAAAGCAACUGUCUACAACCUUGCUGUAUCGUUUCUGCUUCAAUUCUCUCACCACAUAUUCAGUUCUGCAAAUGUACAUCUAAGUGAGCUGUGGGGACACCUGAGUUGCUUUGAUCAUGUUUUCAGCUUCACUUCUGUGAGGAUUUGAACAGCUGAAUUCUGUUUGCUUUGUUAUGAGCUUAUGUUUUUCCAGUUACAGACAAUUUUGCAUGAAUGAGAGUUUGUGGAAAGCUGCAGAUGUAUCUCUUGUUCUGAACAACCCAUAGAAAAUAAAAACCAUAUCAUAUAACUCAGCCAACCAGUCAGGCAAUGGAAAUUGUGAGUUCUCUGUAGUGAUUACUCUACAGAACACUUGUUGUGAACAACAUAGCCAGAUCAC
ensembl:lncRNA